rnacentral:rRNA from 1 species
AGCCACUGCUAUCCGGCUGGGCCUAAGCCAUGCGAGUCGUGAGGCCCUCCCCUUAUGGGGAGGGGGCCCUCGGCGGGCGGCUGAGUAACACGUGGCCAACCUACCCUCGGGAGGGGGAUAACCCCGGGAAACUGGGGCUAAUACCCCAUAGGCGGAGAGGUCUGGAAGGAUCCUCCGCCGAAAGGCCCCGUAAGGGGCGCCCGAGGAUGGGGCUGCGGCCGAUUAGGUAGUUGGUGGGGUAACGGCCCACCAAGCCGACGAUCGGUAGGGGCGCUGAGAGGCGUAGCCCCCAGAUGGCCCCUGAGACACGGGGCCAGGCCCUACGGGGCGCAGCAGGCGCGAAACCUCCGCAAUGCGCGAAAGCGCGACGGGGUCAGCCGGAGUGCCGGUGGGCUUCGGUUCACCGGCUUUUGGGGAGUGUAAAAAGCUCCCCGAAUAAGGGCUGGGUAAGGCCGGUGGCAGCCGCCGCGGUAAUACCGGCAGCCCGAGUGGUGGUCGCUAUUAUUGGGCCUAAAGCGGCCGUAGCCGGGCUGGUAAGUCCCCGUGUAAACCCUGCCGCUUAACGGCAGGAUCUGCGGGGAUACUGCCAGCCUUGGGACCGGGAGACGCGGGGGGUACUCCCGGGGUAGGGGUGAAAUCCUGUAAUUCCGGGGGGACCGCCGGUGGCGAAGGCGCCCCGCGAGAACGGGUCCGACGGUGAGGGCCGAAAGCCGGGGGAGCGAACCGGAUUAGAUACCCGGGUAGUCCCGGCCGUAAACGCUGCGGGCUAGGUGUUGCGUCCGCUUAGAGCGGACGCAGUGCCGGAGGGAAGCCGUUAAGCCCGCCGCCUGGGAAGUACGCCCGCAAGGGUGAAACUUAGAGGAAUUGGCGGGGGAGCACACAAGGGGUGGAGUCUGCGGUUCAAUUGGAUUCAACGCCGGGAAUCUUACCGGGGGCGACGGCAGGAUGAAGGCCAGGCUGAAGGUCUUGCCGGACGAGCCGAGAGGAGGUGCAUGGCCACCGUCAGCUCGUACCGUGAGGCGUCCUGUUAAGUCAGGCAACGAGCGAGACCCGCGCCCCUAGUUGCCAGCGGGCCCGUAA